rnacentral:rRNA from 1 species
GCGCGGCUGCUUGGGUACUACGAGCGAGUGCUUAAAACUCAAAGAACUUGGCGGCUUGUUAACUACCUAGGGGAAUAUGCGCCUUAAUCCGAUGAUCCCCGUUAUAUCUUACUGAGCCUUGAAAAAGUGCAGCUGGUGUAUUGCCGUUGUCAGCUUGUUGUUCGAGCAAAGAGAAACAGGCUUAAUGGAUCCUGGUGAUUACUUUCACGGGAAUCCAUGAAUUCAGGUCGUAAUACUGCCUAUGGCUCAAGGGAGCGGGUGUUACAAUUCAUAUUUGGAAUUACGGAUCCUCAUCGUGGAAUCUUGGGGUGAAGGUGAACUUAGGAGUAAGGAUAGAUUAAUAUGCUUUCCUGAACAUGAAUCUAACUCGUGUACAAACUGCCCGUCGCUCUCGGCGAGAGCUGAGAUAAGUCGUAACAGGG